ensembl:lncRNA
ACGGUGCAGGCAGACACACAGCAUAUUACACACGGUGCAGGCAGACACACAGCAUAUUACACGCUAUGCAGGUAGACACAGCAUAUUACACGCGGUGCAGGUAGACACACAGCAUAUUACACGCGGUGCAGGCAGACACAGCAUAUUACACGCGGUGCAGGCAGACACACAGCAUAUUACACACGGUGCAGGCAGACACACAGCAUAUUACACACUGUGCAGGUAGACACAGCAUAUUACACACGGUGCAGGCAGACACAGCAUAUUACACACUGUGCAGGCAGACACACAGCAUAUUACACACUGUGCAGGCAGACACAGCAUAUUACACACUGUGCAGGCAGACACAGCAUAUUACACACUGUGCAGGCAGACACACAGCAUAUUACACACUGUGCAGGCAGACACAGCAUAUUACACACUGUGCAGGCAGACACAGCAUAUUACACACUGUGCAGGCAGACACAGCAUAUUACACACUGUGCAGGUAGACACAGCAUAUUACACACUGUGCAGGUAGACACAGCAUAUUACACACUGUGCAGGCAGACACACAGCAUAUUACACGCUGUGCAGGCAGACACAGCAUAUUACACGCUGUGCAGGCAGACACACAGCAUAUUACACGCUGUGCAGGUAGACACACAGCAUAUUACACACUGUGCAGGUAGACACAGCAUAUUACACACUGUGCAGGUAGACACAGCAUAUUACACACUGUGCAGGCAGACACAGCAUAUUACACACUGUGCAGGCAGACACACAGCAUAUUACACACUGUGUAGGUAAACACAGCAUAUUACACACUGUGCAGGUAGACACACAGUGUAUUACACACUGUGCAGGUAGACACAGCAUAUUACACACGGUGCAGGCAGACACACAGCAUAUUACACACUGUGCAGGCAGACACACAGCAUAUUAUUUUACUGUGCUUUAUUCUAUCUUAUCUGAAACAUCAGUUCCUCAGAGAAGUUUUCCUUCUUGUCCCAGGCCCGGUCACUCUCCAUCCCAGGUCCCCCUUUUGAUUCCAUCGUAGUUCUCAAAGCUGUGUGCAGUGAUGCCAUUGUGUUUGUGAGUCUCACCCCACUCGAGUGUGAGUUCCUUGCUAGCAGCCACUUUGUUCCUUUUUUCUUUCAGUGCUGUAUGGCGAAAGCCCACAGUGGCCUGCAGGGGGUGGCUUAGUGAAGAUUGUUAGAAGAGACCAAAUCUCUCCUCUUCCUGGUACAGAACUCGGCUAUGUUUCCCAGCACACUGCACGGUGGUUGGCCAAAUGACUAAAUGUUCAUGGAUGAAAUAUGAGCCGUGGUGAUUUGUGCCCUUGGGGACUUAGGCUUACAGUAGUGUCUGUGCAUUUUCCAGGGUCUGCUUCCCUUUCUCCCAAUGACCCAGCUUGAGCCAGUCAAAUGUCACCAAUGCGCUAAAGGAAGGAAUGAGGUUUCUGAAUAUGAAUGCCUGUCCCACCAAAAAGACAGCUUACAGCUUGCAGCUGUUAAUGUGAAAAGAAGUAGGUUUUUUGUUCGAGUCUUUAUAUUGCUGAGGCUCUUUUUAAUUGUAAUGGGAAGAGUCAAACUCUGUAAAAUAUUUGAAGAGAUUUACUCUGAGCCAAAUAUGAGUGACCAUGGCCCAUGACACAGCCCUCAGGAGGUCCUGAGAACAUGUGCCCAAGGUGGUUGGGGUGCAGGUUAGUUUUAUAGACUUUAGGGAAGCAUGAGAUAUCAAAUACAUAUAAGGAAUUCAUUGGUUUGUUCCAGAAAGGUGAGACAAAUUGAAGGGAGUGGAGCUUCCAGGCUAUAGGUAAAUUUAAACGUUUCCUGGUUGACAAUUGAUCGAGUUUUGUCUGAGGACCUGAGAUCGAUAGAAAGCAAAUGUUCAGGUUAAGAUAAAAGAUUGUAGAAACCAAGGUUCUUUUGAAGUCUCAUAGCAGCUGCCCUUAGAAACAAUAGAUGAUAAAUAUUUCUUAUUAAGAUGCUUUAAAGGGUGCUAGACUCAGUUAAUCUAUUCAGAAUUGGAGGGGUCUGGAAGGAAAAGAUCUAACUUUGUUAACAGGGACUCUUUAUAGAUGUGAAUUUUUCCUCACAAAGGACAGCUUGCAGAGCCAUUUCAAAAUGUGACAAAAAACAUGUUUUGUGGGUAAAAUAUUUUCUUUUCUUCCUUGUCUCAAAUGUUAUUGACAGAGCAAGAGCAUCGCCAUCUUGGACAAGCAUCGCCAUUUUAAAGUUCACCUUGAUCAAAAACUGCCUAACUGCAAAGCGCAUCAGCCUAAC